rnacentral:lncRNA from 1 species
AGGAGAUUGAUUACUUAAUAUGUAUAUCUUUAUUUAGUGAUACAUCUUAAAAUUGUACGUGCUUAUGGAACUUGAACAAAAGAUGCACAUGUUUUGAUGGAAGAUUCUAACCGUUCGUUGAUAGAUUCUCAAUCAUCGUCACUUCAAAAUUCAACCCAAAACAAUUGAUUAUCUACAUCGUGCGCUAGGGAUUUUUGCAGAAAAGUCCAUCUAAAAUCCAUAUCAAACCCUUCAUUAGUAUUGAGAAAUCAUAGCCAGAAAUCAAUUCUCCUCACCCUGUUGCAACAGUGGGACACAAUCUUUCAAAAAGCACCUUCAAACACCCCAAUAACCUUACGCAUUCUUGAGUUAUUAAAAAUCAAAAAUAGUCCAGGUUAGGAUAGACAAUAGCGAAACAGCAGCAAAUUAAAGCCAUACCAGAUUUCAUCAUAAAGACAAAACGAGGAUCGGUUCAGUUGGGUACUACAUCAGCACAGAACUGAGGUAACACUCAACCAAAUCAGGUCUCAUUUGUUUCUUUGUAAUUGCUUAUCAAACUUUCAUCUGAGAUUCUGAAGAGCCUUAUUUGGCUGUGGUUAAGUUUGGCUAUGGAGAUGAGCUAUAUUGAAACUUGGCGUUGAACCGGAGUUGACGUUCAUGAAAGAAGAGGAUAGAGAAAGGACAAAUAGAAGAGGUAGACGAAAUGUAGAGAAUGAGAUUAGGCUUUGGAUACGCGGAUGAUUUGGUUGUAUUAUUAACGUUUUUGACAUAAAAGUCAUCAUUUAAAUCAUGUUACGACCUCUCGGGAAAUGGUAG